rnacentral:rRNA from 1 species
UGCGAAUGAUAAGAUCCGUGGUCAAAAGGGAAACAGCCCAGAUCGUCAGCUAAGGUCCCAAAGUGUAAGUUAAGUGGAAAAGGAUGUGGGAUUUCUAAGACAACUAGGAUGUUGGCUUAGAAGCAGCCACUCAUUUAAAGAGUGCGUAAUAGCUCACUAGUCGAGAGAUCCUGCGCCGAAAAUGUUCGGGGCUCAAACUUACCACCGAAGCUACGGGCUUAAGUUAAACUUAAGCGGUAGAGGAGCGUCGUAAUCGGGCUGAAGUCGUACCGGAAGGAGCGGUGGACUGAUUACGAGUGAGAAUGUUGGCAUUAGUAGCGAGAUGUGAGUGAGAAUCUCACAGGCCGAAAACCUAAGGUUUCCUCAGGAAGGCUCGUCCGCUGAGGGUUAGUCGGGACCUAAGCCGAGGCCGAAAGGCGUAGGUGAUGGACAAUCGGUUGAUAUUCCGAUACCACUAUUAAUCGUUAAAACCGAAGGCGUAACGCAGGAGGAUAGGAUGUGCUAGCUAUUGGAUGCUAGUCUAAGCACUUAGGGAGUUCAGCAAGGCAAAUCCGGCUGAACAAUUCUGAGGUGUGAUGGGGAAGGAACUACGGUUCCGAAGUAUCUGAUUCCACGCUGCCAAGAAAAGCGUCUAGGGAGAGAGGUAGUGCCCGUACCGCAAACCGACACAGGUAGGUGAGGAGAGAAUCCUAAGGCCGGCGGAAGAAUCACAGUUAAGGAACUCGGCAAAUUGACCCCGUAACUUAGGAGAAAGGGGUGCCUACGCAAGUAGGCCGCAGAGAAUAGGCCCAAGCAACUGUUUAGCAAAAACACAGGUCUCUGCUAAAGCGAAAGCUGAUGUAUAGGGGCUGACGCCUGCCCGGUGCUGGAAGGUUAAGGGGAAUACUUAGCGCAAGCGAAGGUAUGAACUUAAGCCCCAGUAAACGGCGGCCGUAACUAUAACGGUCCUAAGGUAGCGAAAUUCCUUGUCAGGUAAGUUCUGACCGCACGAAUGGCGUAAUGACUUGGGCACUGUCUCAACUGUGAAUCCGGCGAAGUUGUAGUACGAUGAAGAUGCUCGUUACCCGCGAUUGGACGGAAAGACCCCGUAGAGCUUUACUGUAGCUUAAGCAUUGAAUUUCGGUAUUGUCUGUACAGGAUAGGUGGAGACUAGGAAGUCAGGGCGUCAGCCUUGAUGAUCAUCCUUGGAUACCACCCUACAGUACUGAGGUUCUAACUGGAUGCCAUGAAACUGGUGACAGGACAUUGUUAGGUGGGCAGUUUGACUGGGCGGUCGCCUCCUAAAAAGUAACGGAGGCGCCCAAAGUUCCCUCAAACGGUCGGAAAUCGUUCGAAGAGUGCAAAGGCAGAAGGGAGCCUGACUGCGACACCCACAAGUGGAGCAGGACGAAAGUCGGCUUAGUGAUCCGGUGGUACCUCGUGGAGGCCAUCGCUCAACGGAUAAAAGCUACCUCGGGAUAACAGGCUGAUCUCCCCCAAGAGUCCACAUCGACGGGGAGGUUUGGCACCUCGAUGUCGGCUCGUCGCAUCCUGGGCUGAAGUAGGUCCCAAGGGUUGGGCUGUUCGCCCAUUAAAGCGGCACGCGAGCUGGGUUCAGAACGUCGUGAGACAGUUCGGUCCCUAUCCGUCGCGGCGUAGGAAAUUUGAGAGGAGCUGUCCUUAGUACGAGAGGACCGGGAUGGACUGACCUCUGGUGUACCAGUUGUUCCGCCAGGAGCACAGCUGGGUAGCUAUGUCGGGAAGAGAUAAACGCUGAAAGCAUCUAAGCGUGAAGCUCACCUCAAGAUUAGAUUUCCCAUAGCGUAAGCUAAUAAGAUCCCUUGAAGAACACAAGGUUGAUAGGUCAGAGAUGUAAGCAUGGUAACAUGUUCAGUUGACUGAUACUAAUAGAUCGAGGGCUUGACCAA